AUACAUGCAAGUCGAGCGGACCGACGGGAGCUUGCUCCCUUAGGUCAGCGGCGGACGGGUGAGUAACACGUGGGUAACCUGCCUGUAAGACUGGGAUAACUCCGGGAAACCGGGGCUAAUACCGGAUGCUUGAUUGAACCGCAUGGUUCAAUCAUAAAAGGUGGCUUUUAGCUACCACUUACAGAUGGACCCGCGGCGCAUUAGCUAGUUGGUGAGGUAACGGCUCACCAAGGCGACGAUGCGUAGCCGACCUGAGAGGGUGAUCGGCCACACUGGGACUGAGACACGGCCCAGACUCCUACGGGAGGCAGCAGUAGGGAAUCUUCCGCAAUGGACGAAAGUCUGACGGAGCAACGCCGCGUGAGUGAUGAAGGUUUUCGGAUCGUAAAACUCUGUUGUUAGGGAAGAACAAGUACCGUUCGAAUAGGGCGGCACCUUGACGGUACCUAACCAGAAAGCCACGGCUAACUACGUGCCAGCAGCCGCGGUAAUACGUAGGUGGCAAGCGUUGUCCGGAAUUAUUGGGCGUAAAGCGCGCGCAGGCGGUUUCUUAAGUCUGAUGUGAAAGCCCCCGGCUCAACCGGGGAGGGUCAUUGGAAACUGGGGAACUUGAGUGCAGAAGAGGAGAGUGGAAUUCCACGUGUAGCGGUGAAAUGCGUAGAGAUGUGGAGGAACACCAGUGGCGAAGGCGACUCUCUGGUCUGUAACUGACGCUGAGGCGCGAAAGCGUGGGGAGCGAACAGGAUUAGAUACCCUGGUAGUCCACGCCGUAAACGAUGAGUGCUAAGUGUUAGAGGGUUUCCGCCCUUUAGUGCUGCAGCAAACGCAUUAAGCACUCCGCCUGGGGAGUACGGUCGCAAGACUGAAACUCAAAGGAAUUGACGGGGGCCCGCACAAGCGGUGGAGCAUGUGGUUUAAUUCGAAGCAACGCGAAGAACCUUACCAGGUCUUG
rnacentral:rRNA from 1 species